rnacentral:rRNA from 1 species
CCUACGGGUGACAGCAGUGAGGAAUAUUGGUCAAUGGGCUUACGCCUGAACCAGCCAAGUCGCGUGAGGGAAGACUGCCCUAUGGGUUGUAAACCUCUUUUGUCAGGGAGCAACGCCGGCUACGUGUAGCCGGACUGAGAGUACCUGAAGAAAAAGCAUCGGCUAACCCCGUGCCAGCAGCCGCGGUAAUACGGAGGAUGCGAGCGUUAUCCGGAUUUAUUGGGUUUAAGGGGUGCGUAGGCGGAAUGCAAAGUCAGCGGUAAAAUCGCGGGGCUCAACCUCGCUCCGCCGUUGAAACUGGCGUUCUUGAGUGGGCGAGAAGUAUGCGGAAUGCGUGGUGUAGCGGUGAAAUGCGUAGAUAUCGAGAGGAACACUCGUGGCGAAGGCAGGUUCCUGGACAUUAACUGACGCUGAGGCACGAAGGCCAGGGGAGCGAAAGGGAUUAGAUACCCGUGUAGUC